UACGGAGGGGGCUAGCGUUGUUCGGAAUUACUGGGCGUAAAGCGCACGUAGGCGGCUUUGUAAGUUAGAGGUGAAAGCCCGGGGCUCAACUCCGGAAUUGCCUUUAAGACUGCAUCGCUUGAAUCCGGGAGAGGUGAGUGGAAUUCCCAGUGUAGAGGUGAAAUUCGUAGAUAUUGGGAAGAACACCGGUGGCGAAGGCGGCUCACUGGCUCAUUACUGACGCUCAGGCGCGAUAGCGUGGGGAUCAAACAGG
rnacentral:rRNA from 1 species